rnacentral:rRNA from 1 species
GGCGGACGGGUGAGUAACACGUGGGAACGUGCCCUUUGGUACGGAAUAACUCAGGGAAACUUGAGCUAAUACCGUAUGUGCCCUUCGGGGGAAAGAUUUAUCGCCAUUGGAGCGGCCCGCGUCUGAUUAGCUUGUUGGUGAGGUAAAGGCUCACCAAGGCGACGACCAGUAGCUGGUCUGAGAGGAUGACCAGCCACAUUGGGACUGAGACACGGCCCAAACUCCUACGGGAGGCAGCAGUGGGGAAUCUUGCGCAAUGGGCGAAAGCCUGACGCAGCCAUGCCGCGUGGAUGAUGAAGGUCUUAGGAUUGUAAAAUCCUUUCACCGGUGAAGAUAAUGACUGUAGCCGGAGAAGAAGCCCCGGCUAACUUCGUGCCAGCAGCCGCGGUAAUACGAAGGGGGCUAGCGUUGCUCGGAAUUACUGGGCGUAAAGGGCGCGUAGGCGGACAUUUAAGUCAGGGGUGAAAUCCCAGAGCUCAACUCUGGAACUGCCUUUGAUACUGGAUGUCUUGAGUGUGAGAGAGGUAUGUGGAACUCCGAGUGUAGAGGUGAAAUUCGUAGAUAUUCGGAAGAACACCAGUGGCGAAGGCGACAUACUGGCUCAUUACUGACGCUGAGGCGCGAAAGCGUGGGGAGCAAACAGGAUUAGAUACCCUGGUAGUCCACGCCGUAAACGAUGAUUGCUAGUUGUCGGGCUGCAUGCAGUUCGGUGACGCAGCUAACGCAUUAAGCAAUCCGCCUGGGGAGUACGGUCGCAAGAUUAAAACUCAAAGGAAUUGACGGGGGCCCGCACAAGCGGUGGAGCAUGUUGGUUUAAUUCGAAGCAACGCGCAGAACCUUACCACCUUUUGACAUGCCUGGACCGCACCGGAGACGGUGCUUUCCCUUUCGGGGACUGGGACACAGUGCUGCAUGGCUGUCGUCAGCUCGUGUCGGUGGAGAAGUGGUUGGGGUUAAGUCCCGCAACGAGCGCAACCCUCCGCCAUUAGUUGGC